CGAUGAACCUCACUUGUGGGGGGAUUAGUGGCGAACGGGUGAGUAACACGUGAGUAACCUGCCCUUGACUCUGGGAUAAGCCUGGGAAACCGGGUCUAAUACUGGAUACGACCUUCUGGCGCAUGCCAUGUUGGUGGAAAGCUUUUGUGGUUUUGGAUGGACUCGCGGCCUAUCAGCUUGUUGGUGGGGUAAUGGCCUACCAAGGCGACGACGGGUAGCCGGCCUGAGAGGGUGACCGGCCACANUGGGACUGAGACACGGCCCAGACUCCUACGGGAGGCAGCAGUGGGGAAUAUUGCACAAUGGGCGCAAGCCUGAUGCAGCGACNCCGCGUGAGGGAUGAAGGCCUUCGGGUUGUAAACCUCUUUCAGUAGGGAAGAAGCGAAAGUGACGGUACCUGCAGAAGAAGCGCCGGCUAACUACGUGCCAGCAGCCGCGGUAAUACGUAGGGCGCAAGCGUUAUCCGGAAUUAUUGGGCGUAAAGAGCUCGUAGGCGGUUUGUCGCGUCUGCCGUGAAAGUCCGGGGCUUAACUCCGGAUCUGCGGUGGGUACGGGCAGACUAGAGUGCAGUAGGGGAGACUGGAAUUCCUGGUGUAGCGGUGAAAUGCGCAGAUAUCAGGAGGAACACCGAUGGCGAAGGCAGGUCUCUGGGCUGUAACUGACGCUGAGGAGCGAAAGCAUGGNGAGCGAACAGGAUUAGAUACCCUGGUAGUCCAUGCCGUAAACGUUGGGCACUAGGUGUGGGGGACAUUCCACGUUUUCCGCG
rnacentral:rRNA from 1 species